AGAGAGUGCAAGCGUUAAUCGGAAUUACUGGGCGUAAAGCGCGCGUAGGGUGGAUGUUUAAGUCGAAUGUGAAAGCCCCAGGCUUAACCUGGGAACUGCAUCCGAUACUGGGCAUCUAGAGUAUAGUAGAGGGAAGUGGAAUUUCAGGUGUAGCGGUGAAAUGCGUAGAUAUCUGAAGGAACACCAGUGGCGAAGGCGGCUUCCUGGACUAAUACUGACACUGAGGUGCGAAAGCGUGGGGAGCAAACAGGAUUAGAGACCCUGGUAGUCCACGCCGUCAACGAUGAGAACUAGCUGUUGGGGGGGUUGCCCUUUAGUAGCGAAGCUAACGCGUUAAGUUCUCCGCCUGGGGAGUACGGCCGCAAGGCUA
rnacentral:rRNA from 1 species